rnacentral:sRNA from 1 species
GCCGGGCGUUGUGGCGGGCGCCUGUGGUCCCAGCUACUUGGGAGGCGGAGGCAGGAGACUCGCUUGAGCCCAGGAGUUGGAGGUUACUGUGAGCUGUAAUGCCACGGCACUCUACCCAGGGGGACAGCUUGAGGCUUUGUCUCAAAAAAAAAAAAAAAAAAAAAAACCUCACCUCUAGCUUUUUUUUUUUUUUUUGAGACAGAGUCUCAUGCUGUCACCCUGGGUAGAGUGCUGUGGCAUCAUAGCUCACAGCAACUUCAAACGCUUGGGUUUAAGCAAUUCUCUUGC